CCUACGGGAGGCUGCAGUGAGGAAUAUUGGUCAAUGGGCGCGAGCCUGAAGCAGCCAAGUAGCGUGAAGGAUGAAUGCCCUACGGGUUGUAAACUUCUUUUAUAAAGGAAUAAAGUGAGGCACGUGUGCCUUUUUGUAUGGACUUUAUGAAUAAGGAUCGGCUAACUCCGUGCCAGCAGCAGCGGUAAUACGGAGGAUCCGAGCGUUAUCCGGAUUUAUUGGGUGUAAAGGGAGCGUAGAUGGGUUGUUAAGUCAGUUGUGAAAGUUUGCGGCUCAACCGUAGAAUUGCAAUGGAUACUGGCAGCCUUGAGUACAGUUGAGGUAGGCGGAAUUCGUGGUGUAGCGGUGAAAUGCUUAGAUAUCACGAAGAACUCCGAUUGCGAAGGCAGCUUACUAAACUGCCACUGACAUUGAUGCUCGAAAGUGUGGGUAUCAAACAGGAUUAGAUACCCCUGUAGUC
rnacentral:rRNA from 1 species